GACGAACGCUGGCGGUAUGCUUAACACAUGCAAGUCGAACGAGACAAGAUGGAAGUGCUUGCACGGAAAUCUUAGAAAGUGGCGAACGGGUGAGUAACGCGUGGGUAACCUGUCCUAUGGAAAGGAAUAGCCUCGGGAAACUGGGAGUAAUGCCUUAUAAGAUACAUUUGUCGCAUGGCAGAAGUAUUAAACGCUCCGGUGCCAUAGGAUGGACCCGCGUCCCAUUAGCUAGUUGGUGAGAUAACAGCCCACCAAGGCGACGAUGGGUAACCGGUCUGAGAGGGCGAACGGUCACACUGGAACUGAGACACGGUCCAGACUCCUACGGGAGGCAGCAGUGGGGAAUAUUGCGCAAUGGGGGCAACCCUGACGCAGCAAUACCGCGUGAGUGAAGAAGGUUUUCGGAUCGUAAAGCUCUGUUAUUGGGGAAGAAAAAAGACGGUACCCAAGAAGAAAGUCCCGGCUAACUACGUGCCAGCAGCCGCGGUAACAC
rnacentral:rRNA from 1 species